UACUCAUUCCCUUCUCCUUAUUUAUUAUUUCUUCUAUGCUUUCUGAAUCUUCCACAUGUAGAUGCUUGAGAUUUGGAGCAAACAAUAACCAGCUCAAUUCUUUUGAACCUUUCAAUGCUAAUAUAGCAAUACUGGAGAGGUGCUUGAAGCAUGGAGAAGGAAGAUCUUCUUUCUCUUUGCUUUUCCAAUCUAUCUUUAUCUCUGAGAUUUUGGAAUAAUUAAUAUAAAGUUCUCGAAGACCACCCAUAGCUACCGUGUUCAAUGUUACAACCUCUGCGGACAUUUUGUAAAUCAAAAGGCAUUGAACACAACUCGCCAAUCGCUCCAUUCUUUGGAUACUUUCCAAGAUUAAAGCAUCUUUCACGUUUCCUGUGAAAAUCUUCAAGUGCUCUAAAAUUUGUAGCUCUUCAAUUGAUCUUGCAUCAAUAUCAACAUGAGAACCAAAUAGUUUCAACACCUGAAGAGUUGGUAAGCUUGUUCCUAUCCCAUCAAUGCUUUUAAGGCCGGGACAGUACUCCAGGUCCAGGCUUAUUAGUUUACUCAACCCCUUCAAAACAACUGGUAACGAACUUAUACGUGUGCGUGAUAAAUUGAGGUAUUGCAAGGAAAUCAAGCUGCAAAUUUCUUCCGGCAAUUCCAAAAGAAUUAGGUUACGCGAAAGAUCCAAGACGACAAGGGACGGCAUAAACUGAAAGAAUUCACCCGGUAUAACCUUCAACAUGUUAUCCCCGAGAAACAGAGUCGAAAGGUUGGGGCAUUUGGGACUGCAAGAUAUCUUUUUAAUUUGAUUACUCCUCAAGGAGAUCCUUCUCGAAACUGACCAGUUGAUGUCAUCUGGUAUAAAGCUUAGCUUCACACCGGACUUGACGCACUGUUUUUCUUCCUCUUUUCCUAUCCAAAGAGCCAUUUCACGUAACACAUCAUGCAUUUUCACCGCACGUGUGAAUCCAGAUUCGAAAAUAGUGGAUUCUUUUUCGCACUCCAUCAGUAGAUGUGCACGAACUAACGAACCAAUAAUAACAUGACCUUUGUUGUUACUUCCAUCUUCAUUUCUCUCUCCCUUUAUAAAUCCUUCGCUGAUCCAAUACUCUAUCAACUCCUCUUUAGUUAUUUCAUAAUCUUCCGGGAACAAAGAACAGUAUAGGAAGCAUGAUUUCACCUUUUCAUCCUCUAAACCAUCAUAGCUGAACUUCAAAAUCGAAAGAAUCUUUUUUUCCAUACCUGGAAACUUGUCGCUAGACGUUUUGAGAACAUCAAUUGCAUCACGCCAUUCGUGUACAUCCUCUUUACAUGACAUGGCUUUGCCAAUCACAUUGAGUGCAAGUGGCAAUCCAUAACACUUUUCACAAAUUUGUUUUGCAAGUGUGGGAAUAUCCGGAUGCCCCUUUAGUCGGACUUCUCCAACUGCAUUUUGAAACAGUUCCCAUGCUUCAUUCCUUGUCAAACAAUCCAUUUUCAGCUCAUCAUCAGCUCUCAUGUCUCUGCAAACUUCCUUUGAACGAGUGGUGAAAACUAUCUUUGAUCCAUUUUCUUGAGUUGGACUUGGAACUCCAAUCUUGUCCAAAUCUACCUCGCUCCACAGAUCAUCUAAUAGCAGAACAAAUUUCUUUCGUCCUAGGAUAUUCUCUAUGAAAGAUGCUUUCUCCUUCUCUGUUUCCUUUUCCCAAUCCUUGUCAACACAUAAUCUUCGUAGAAUCUGAUCCUGAAUGCCGUCGUAUUGCAAAUCUUUAGAGACCACAACCCAUAUCACAACAUCAAAUUCAUCCUUGAAUUUGUUGUUGAUUCUAGUUAAGAGGGUUGUUUUCCCAACUCCCCCCAUGCCAUAAAUACCUAACGUUCUUCCUUCAGGCUUCAUGAUGCUGUCCCAUGCCUUUCCAACCAUCGAAUCCAAACCUACUGUUUUUUGGAUAGGUUGCUGCUCCACCUUUGGUAAACGUCCUUUUAUGGCCACCUCUCCAAAAGCUUCUCUAGAUAGAAGCUCUUUAACUUUUUCCAACUUCUUCGAUACCUCUUUACCAUACUCAUAGCUUGAUAUACAAUUUUCGGAAAAAUAUCCAAAAAGACACAAUCUAUUGAUUUCAGCUGGUUUAGUCGUAAGCAGAUCACUGACCUGAGAGUCAAUACUUUCUACCCUUGCCAACCAUCUUUUUACUUCAGCAAGCCGCUGCAAACCUUUAUCUUCUUCUAUGGAAACUCUGGUUAACAGAUCAUCUCGCCUGUCUCUAAGUGUUUGCAUAGAUGCCUCCAGAGCCUCAAGAUUUGCCUUCAUCAUGUGAAUGUAGUUUCCAUCCCCAAAUAAGCUGUUGCAGGCUUGAGUUACCGCUUGACCCCAUGGUAAUACUGAUAGACAGCCUCCCAUCUUAGCUCAAACUUUCAGAAAGAAACCAAAAUCAAACUCACUGCUUUGGUGAAUGAACAAGAGAAAGAGGGAACACCAAUAAUUUUGAUUGACUUGAUGAGAAAAUAGUAAGCCACCAGCGAAGACCGACCAAUGACUCCACACAAAUAAUUCAUAAAUAAUAAUAAUGAAGGCCACACUUUCCUUAUCCCUUAGGAUGUCUAAUUAGAGUCACAUGAACCACUUGUGGACUUUAAGACUUUGGAUGUUACAGUCCAAUCCAAUUUGUUAUGUUUAUUUUCCUGAGCAAUUUACUGAAACGAAAUACAGCAUUAGAAGCCGUAACGGGGUAGCAGAGGAGGUCCACGAAAACAUAUUUCCUCAAGGCAGAAUCAAUGAAAAAGUAAAAGGGGCCAUAAGAGUGUUCAGGAGGAGGAUUGCUUGCAUCUUGAGUGAGACGGUUUCACUUCAUAAUGCUGUCUCAGAGAUAAAUAGAUAUCACCUCAUCUUGCUUAGUGAUAUCCGGGGCACUGAUGCUUGGGACUAUCCUCGUCAUUUUAACAGAAUGAUAAAGUAGUGUCUUAUCUAAUUACUUGGACGUUGUGUCUUCUCCAAGUAAAGUCAUGAAACAUGUAAUACAGAUGGUUUCUGAUUUUUCAGAUGUCUCUGAGCUGAAAUUGUUUCUUACACUAGUGAAGCUCCCGGGAGUUUUUCCUCUGAUCCCAGUGCCUUACGUUUAUGGCAGUGCAGAUUAGUCCACCACCUGUUUAUAAGAAGGAUGUAUUAAAACCAAACACCCGUACUGUCUCAAAAGGCAAUACCACCAAUUGCUAACUUUGACUUACAAAUACGUCACAAGGAAAUGAGACAGUAAACAGAUCAUUUCACGAGUAAAACGGUAAUACAAUGGUAUCAAAUGAGUAGAGGUUGUUCUACCCACACAGAUUCUGUAAUCACCUCCACAUCAAUCACAAGAUGCAAAUGAUGCAGCCAGAUCCAACGCUGCGUUCACUUGAGAAGCAUCCAUUCCCUGAAACCAAAAUAACAUGCUCAACAAUUAUCAACCAAUGUCAAAAUAUAUUUCUCCGUUGGAACUUAGAUUGAGAUCCAUUGGCACAUGAUCCCUAAAACCAGACACAUACCUGUCCAGAUGCGAGACAACUUUUUCCAUUUCCCGCAUCUCUCUUUUAGAGGACCCAAUGCAGUUGUCAGCCACUCAGUGACGUCUAGUUGCUUGAACUCCUGUACACACAACCGCCUUGUUGGCUAUUUCAUCUGUGCUGAACACCAUUAUCCACAUUCCCAACAAGAUUCACCAACAACACUGUUAUUUAGCUUUCUUUACCUUCUCUAUGAGUAGUAAGUAGAAGUAAAUGGAGAUUUUACCUUCUUCUCCACAACUGUCGAAACAGCCUCUCGCACGGCAGCUGCAUCAACACCUACAUCAAGCCCGUAAAGUAAAAGGGAAAGAUUCACAGAAAACAAAAGCUAAAAACGGAUUGCAAUUUGCAAGAGAACUGGUGGACAGCUUACUUCACCAAAAACUUCUCUUAGACCUUUGAUUCGCUUGGCUUCAGAAAGCACUGAUUCCUUGGAAAAUACUUCCAACUCAUCCUUGAUCUGUUUAUUCACUGUGGCUUCGAUCUUUCUCAAAUCUUCAGGAUCAACCGGCUUGCCUACUCAAAAUGAAAAUAUGACUUAUUGAAGAAUGUACCGUGGGAAAAUCAAAAUGCAGUUUUUCUAGUGGUUGCUUAUCACUUUCAUAUGACCUCUUGAGAAAAUAAAUCAUUCAGACAGAAGAUUUAUCUCUUUUCACAUCUCUGAUAUUUAAUCACUCAAACUCCAGAUCACAGGUUGAUAUCAUUCAAAUAUCGAGUCAAGUUGACAGGUUACAUAGCAGAUCCACGAGUGAAAUUUAAGGUUCUUCGGAAACAUCGAACAUUUGAAUCAAACUGUUUCAGUUGAGGGCCACACUUAUCUUAAAACAGAGAUGCCGUUUCUCUAAAGUCAUAUAUAAUGUCCCAAAGUUUUGUCAAAUUAAGAUGCCCUCUAUUUGCUUGUUGUAGCUCUUUAAUUCAAGGAAGAGAGAAAAGCCAUUAACUAAGUUCAGAACCAGCAGCCAUGGCGAGCAUCAAUCAAGAGAUCCAUGAAACAAAACACACACAAAUGAAAGCUUUGAGGAAAAUGUAUCAAAUGAUUACAAACUGGAGAGAAGGGGAAAUGCAACAAUGAAAAAGUUUCCUGCUUUGAGAAAUACAAUUUUGACAACAAUGUCAUUCAAGCAAAAGCAGAACAUAAAACCCAAAACCAAGAAGUUUAAGAAACUGAGAGGAUACACACACACACAUAUUAUUCGGAGCCUCAUUCAUCAACUUCCUUACUCCUGCUCGUGUCUCUGAAACUCUCUAAUGGCAGGUUUGGGUAGCUUUGGGCAGUCUUCGACAUCAAACUUUAUCAGGGAUGGAAGAGCAGGAGGAGGACUUGAGCAUAUUCUCUUUAAUUUCUUCAAAUCCCUUAAAGUGAGGGAUUGUAGCUUCGCAAAGGGAACCGUCAUAUCAGGAUGCACAUUGCUAAUACUCAUUCCCUUCUCCUUAUUUAUUAUUUCUUCUAUGCCUCCUGAAUCUUCCACAUGUAGAUGCUUGAGAUUUGGAGCAAACAAUAACCAGCUCAAUUCUUUUGGACCUUCCAAACCAAAUAUAGAAAUACUGGAGAGGUGCUUGAAGCAUGGAGAAGGAAGAUCUUCUUUCUCUUUGCUUUUCCAAUCUAUCUUUAUCUCUGAGAUUUUGGACAUCGUAAUAUCAAGUUCUCGAAGACCACCCAGAGCUGCCGUGUUUAAUGUUAAUACCUCUGCGGACAUUUCGGAAAUCCAAAGGCGUUGAACACAACUCGCCAAUCGCUCAACUCUUUGGAUACUUUCCAAAAUUAAAGCAUCUUUCACGUUUACUGUUAAAAUCUUCAAGUGCUCUAAAAGUUGAAGCUCUUCAAUUGAUCUUGCAUCAAUCAAAACACUAGAAAAAUAUAGUUUCAACACCUGAAGAUUUGGUAAGCUUGUUCCUAUCCCAUCAAUGCUUUUAAGCUUGGUGAACUCCAGGUCCAUGCUUAUUAGCUUCCUCAACCCCUUCAAACCAACUGAUAACCAACUUAUACCUGUGUAUGAUAAAAUUGAAUACCUUUGUCCAUUGUGGACCAACCAAUUAUAGUCCAAAAAAUAUGUUUCUUAGUUAUCAUGAAAGGAAUCCAUCCCACUCUUCUCGGUUGAUUCAGAUGUGGAAUAGGAACUCUGUUGAAAUUUCUACUCCGCCUUCUCCGACAUGCAAUCCUCCGUUUAUUCGGCUUC
rnacentral:lncRNA from 1 species